GUGCUACAAUAGAGGCCAUCUGGGAUGAUGGUCGGGGGAAUUUGGACUGUCACCGGAAAAGGAGGGUAUAUUUGGAUAGGGACAGAAAUUUUGCCUUGCAACAGGCCACCUACGGACCCCUCAAAGAGUUGUUGCAAGGGUUCUUAACGUGCAAAGAGCAUGGCACUCUCUUUACACGAGGCAUCGGAUUUAACGUCCCCCUUCUGACCGGACGUGACUGCGAACUUGAUACAUCCCGCACAGCCAACGGACGCCCCACUUUGGCAAGCGUUUUACUGCCGGUCGGGAGAAGACCAAAUGACCAUAUUUCUAUACCCCAGUCACCCUUGGGGGCUGAGUACUCGAUAAAGAUAAAGUAUUUUUAUAUUAUUAUUUAUUCAAAAGCAAAGUUAAUUCAAAUUAUUAAAUUACUUGGUUUAAAU
rnacentral:lncRNA from 1 species